UACGUAGGGAGCAAGCGUUGUCCGGAUUUACUGGGUGUAAAGGGCGUGCAGCCGGGCCUGUAAGUCAGAUGUGAAAUCCGUGGGCUUAACCCACGAACUGCAUUUGAAACUGCGGGUCUUGAGUACUGGAGAGGCAGACGGAAUUCCUAGUGUAGCGGUGAAAUGCGUAGAUAUUAGGAGGAACACCAGUGGCGAAGGCGGU
rnacentral:rRNA from 1 species